AGGUGCUCAUAGAUCACAGAUCAAGUGUCAUAGAUCAAACAGUGGCUCCUUACAGUGCAGAGGACUUCAAGGCAUGAUGGAGCGGCGGUAUUCCCGGCGGUCAAGCAGCUCCAUCAGGAACCGCCAGAUGACCAGGACCAGAACGCCAAUGAGGAGCACGCCGGCGAUGGUGCCGCCCACGAUCAGUGGGAUGUUGGGAGGCUGUGGGCACUCUGUGGGACAGACAGACAGACAGAUGGUGUCACGCUGCAGCCCCUGGUGAGGCAGCCUGCUGGCAGCCCGCCUGUGGCAGGGCAGGAGGAGCGGGGAUGGGAUACCUCUCUCAGGAUCGACGAUGAUGGUGUAUAUCUCCUCUCCAUCCUCCUGGACCAUAUGGAAGGACAUCCAGCAGUUCUGGGAAUCCUUUUCCCUGCAUUUCCUACCAUUUGUGCUCACGUCUUUUGAGUUUGUAGGCAGAUGGAUGUUGGCACAGGCCUGGGAGCAGUUCUUCUCAAAGGGGCCGCUGCCGAAGAACUUGCACUCCACGCAGGAGCUGCAAAACAAGCAGCUGCAGCUCACAUCUGCAGGGGCAGAGACCCUCUCACCUGGAUUUGGGCAUUUUGGGCCCUGCCUGUGCAUCCCUGGGAUACUGGGGAUCCCCGCUGCCCCCGUGCCCAUCACUCACAUGUAUCUGCCACAGGGAGAAGGGCAGCCUGGGCACUCCUGGCAGAAGGGGGGCUGGUACCCCCCCCUGCACUGGCAGCGGUUGCAGAGGCAGGUCCCACGGAGGCUGCACACAUUUCUGUGGGCAUUGAGGCAGUUCUGCGUGGAUUGCUGGCACUGGCAGGCGCUGCCCUCAUAGCCAGGCUGGCACUUGCACGCCCCACAGUCGCAUUGCCCACGUGCUGCAGAGGAAGAGAUCUUUCAGAUCCUGCAGACAGCCAGGCCACCCACCCUGCGCUCACGACACCAGAGUCCAUUUGAGGACCUCAAGGAGGUCCUACAGGCUGGUGUGGUGGGACCCAGCAGCCCCAAACCCUCCCACUGGGGUUAUGGCACGAAAAGGCCGCAUCUCCCUGGGCACUGAACUCCUGUGAGCAGUGGAGAAGCUGUCCCUGGUGCAUCACCUGGGCCGCCGCAGAGGGAGCCGUUGAAGAACUCGCAGUUCAUGUUGUCACACUGGCAGAAGGUGCCGUAGAUGUACUUGCCAGGCACGUCGCUGGUGUGGCACACGCACUGCCCGCACACGCAGUCCCCCUGCCCCGAGCAGGGCACCGAGCUGUUGUCCCUGCGGCAGCUGCUCUCCAGCUCCUUGCUGCUCCUCCCUUUGGUGUCGCACUCGCAGUUCUUCCCUGUGUACCUCGAGUUGCAGCUGCCGCCAGAGGAGGGGAGCAAGCUUGGGUCAGUGAUGUGCCAUGCACAGGGCCCAGACCUCUCUUUUGCUACCCCUGUAGCAAAUCUGGGACAGCCUCACCAAAAAGCAAUGACAGCACGUUGGUGCUAACGCCAUGCUGGAGCAGGGAGCAAACCUCAGAAAUGUUGCUUUUCCACCAGUCAUAUUCACAACACCAAAUAAAUUAUUCUUACAUUUAUAAUUUCUGAGCCCUUGCCAAGGAGAUGUGAGUAUUUCCUGAGGAAACCCAGUCUUUUCCUCUCCUUGUCACUGAGAGGCCAUGAAGCAAUAAUUACGCUCAAAGACCUGUGAGAGCUGCGGCCAAGAAAUGGGAUUUUGAGAGAUUUCUACAGAUAUCUGUGUCUGCUCAGUGGGUGGACUGGUGGAUGAUUUGAUACUGGGAUGGAUGGGUGGAUCAUUGGAUAGAUUGAGGCCCUUAGGAAAACAGCAUAACCUCCACCAAGAGAAGAGUCAGCUCAUUGUGCCCCUGCCUCUGUGUACACAGGGGACAGUUCCAAGGGGAAUGCACAAAUUCACCUCUCUGAACAAAAAAAAAUUGUGCAAAUCUACAGAGCUCAGCUCUGGUUCGUCCCAACAUCCCUCUCCCAGCAAUUCCCCAGCUCUGGCAGCAUUUGAACUCGUGUUUUGGGUGGACAGCACAUACCUGCAGAUGCCACAUUCGAUGCUGCCUUGCCCAUUGCAAGCACCUGUGUCAGGCUUGUCAUUGCAGUGGCAGUCACAGUUGCUGGACACGUGGACAGUGAGGGUGUCUGUGAAGCCCAGGGGCCGGAUGGCAAAGGAAUAGUUUGGAAUGCACGCCUUGGCUGUGACCUUCACUUUGAAGGUGACCUAGAAAGGGCAGAGUAGGACAGGGGAGGGCCAGAUGUCCAGCUGUCAGAGUGUGGUUUUGGCCCUAGGCUGAGGACAUGCACAUCCAGAACAUCGGAGGAUGUCCCACAUCCCAUAGCAUUUUGGACACUCUUGGCAUUAAAUUAAUACAAACAAAAAGCCUGGAAGAGCAACCAGGGUUCCUGUCACUAAACAGGAUGGGCAACAGAAGCUGUGCAAGAUUCUGUUCCUGGUACAGGAGAGCAUACCUCUUCAUUGAUCUUGACAUUGUCGCAUUUGCCUCUUGCUUCAUCCACGGAGUCCUUGUCAUUUUUGCAUUUGGAGUCAUAUUUGACAUCCAGAGUGUCCAGCAAGGUGGAAUGGUCCAAGAUGAUCCGCGAGGAGAGGUUCUUUGGAAAAAUGGUGGAGAAAGUGCCAUCAGUCCAAAAGCAGACUGAACCAAGAGGGUAUGGGGUUGCAGGUCAGGAAAAAGAGCCAGAGAGCACCACAGGUCAGGAUCUCAGCUGCCUGGAGUGGUUCUGGAAAUGCAGGUGAUGUCAUUGGAGAGGUGGAACUCCAGCACAUACAUUGUAGGCCACUUGGAUGAGCUCAAUGAUGUUGCUGGAGUCCUGGUUCAGCUCUCCCACUGCCGACUUUGGGAUCAUCUCACUGAGUUUCUGUAAUGGAGAGCAAAGAGGUGAGCACUUCCUACCACAUGACUGCAGAGCAGGAGACAGACACAGCUGUGUCCGUCCUCCUGGGAAGGGGAUGGAGGCACCUGGACCAUCUGACAUAUUCUCACCUUGUAAACAUCCACCACCCUACUGGUGACAGCAAAAAUGGGCUGAAUGUUGUUUUCGGCAAGUUUCUGGACCAGCUGGCCAACAGAUGGGUAGUCCUGGAUGGGGAGAGGGAUAUCACACUCAGCACAACCUCCCCCACCAGCAGAAGAGGGUGGGGGACCGCACCACACACUUUGGGUGUGGCAGCACAACUUGUGGUGAUUGAGGGGAUGUUUUGGUCUCUGCAACAGGCUGUUUUACAUAACGUUGUGUUUUCUGCCUGGAGGAGGGAGAUGGGGGCUGCUGGAUAUGCUGAACAGCCCCCAGGUACUUACAAACUCGUUGCUCUUUUUGUACAUGUUGUCCUCCAAGUGGCACUUGCCAUCGUUGGGGGUCAGGAUGCCCGCAAGCUUGCCAUCCCCAGCAAAGUGGAAUCCGUCAUCAGUAGCAAACACCAGCAAGCGGGUCACGUUGCGCCAGCCAAUCUGGUCCUGCAAGUGGCACACAGAGUGGGCCCUGUCCCUGAGCAAGGCUGGCAGGACAGUGCCAGUGGGCACCCUUUCCAUACUCUUGUGUGAGCCACAGUGUGGGGCAGGGGGCCCAAGGAAGGUGGGUUAAGGGAGAUCAGGGUUAGGAGGCUCUGGGGUAAGAUGCUCUCUGGAGUGACCUGCCUUGCUGCUGGAUCAGAAUUCAGGCAGGAUGAGCUUCCAGAGCCCACUGGGGAGGGGGAAAGCAGCCCUCUCCAGGGUGUGUGUGGGCAGCAGCGCUCCUGCCUGAGCACAGCUGCUGGCAGAGGGCAGGACUCACCCCGCACACCGCCGCCUGCAUCAUGGCAUCCAGCCCUCCCUCUGGGGCAUCCAGGUUCCCUGAGAUGAACUGCUUGCCCACUUCACUCUCAAACUGCUGGGCGUUGUCCGUCAGCGACAGGAUGUGCUUGAAGGCGAAGGGAGGCUGGCACUUGGUGCUCUUAUUGGGGCAGGGGUUCUUCAGCUUCUCGGGGUGCGUGUUCACGAACGGCAGCACUGUCUUGUCCACAAAGGAGCCAAACCCUAGGGCAGCCAGACCAGAGUUUUAGGGACAGGGCACAGGGCAAUCUGCUGGCCCCAGUGUACAUGCCCAUGUCCCUUGCCCUGCAGAGGACAACCUGCUGUCCACUCCCCGCAUCCCCCUCCAGCCCUGCGGCUCCUCCCAAACAGAUGUGCCAGGCUGAAGACAGGCUCACCUGUCACAGACACGUUUUACGAAAAAUCCUUUCCUUAAAAUUUUUUCUCCUGAGAAGCUGAGAAGCCUCGCAAACAAAAUGUAACCAAUGAUUAUCUGCUGCUGUGGAAUGCAACAGGUGGAUUGUGAUUGGUCUCAUGUGGUUGUUUCUAAUUAAUGGCCAAUCACAUUCCAGCUGUCCAGACUGUCUCGGUCAGUCACAAGCCUUUGUUAUAAUUCUUCUUCUAUUCUUAGCUAACCUUCUGAUGAAACCCUUUCUUCUAUUCUUUUGGUAUAAUUUUUGUACAGUUUUAAUACAAUAUAUGUCAUAAAAUAAUAAAUCAAGCCUUCUGAAA